rnacentral:rRNA from 1 species
CCCUUAGAUGUCCGGGGCCGCACGCGCGCUACACUGAAGGAAUCAGCGUGGCUUUCUCCCUGACCCGAAAGGGUUGGGAAACCCGUUGAAUCUCCUUCGUGAUAGGGAUUGGGGCUUGAAAUUGUUCCCCAUGAACGAGGAAUUCCCAGUAAGCGCGAGUCAUAAGCUCGCGUUGAUUACGUCCCUGCCCUUUGUACACACCGCCCGUCGCUACUACCGAUUGAACGGUUUAGUGAGGGCCUCGGAUUGGUCUCGGCCCGCUCUUUACCGGGCGGCGCCGUUGGUCGAGAAGACGCUCGAACUUGAUCGUUUAGAGGAAGUAAAAGUCGCAACA